rnacentral:lncRNA from 1 species
AGACAGCAUGCAGACCCUGGAGCUUUCCAAGGAGCGUGGCUGUGGGCCCUCUUUUCCAGGAUAGUCCUGCCCCAAAGCCCCAGCUCUAGGCUUAGGGAUGUGACUGCCAUGGAAGAACUGAGCAGGAGAGAAACUAGGCGAGACAGGGCAGUGGCGGGCACAUGGUGCCAGCCAGUCAUCUGGCUGUUGGACCUGGUGUUGGCACCAGGCCUCCUCUGGACUCUGGCCCCUGCUUGAGACAAAACACAGAUCUCAGGCUGCUCAGUGUCUGGCCCUGGGUGGCCGAUGGGCCUGGAUGCUGGCUGAGCUGGGACAGGAUGGGACUACCAAGAAAACACAGGUUCCAUGAGGGCAGUGUCCAUGCUCCUUUUCGCUGCUGAAUCCCUGCAUCCUGAAUGGCGCAGACACUUGUGGUCUCCGGGAGUAGCUGUUGACUAAAUGAAAGGAGGAGUCUGAGCACUUCAAGGUGAAAGCUGCAGUCUCUGCCCGCCCCCGCCCCAGCCUCCGGGACAACCUUUUCUUCUCUUUGGCUCAGGCCCUCCCUCUGCUGGGCAAUUCUUUGAUCUCCCAAGCAAGGGAAGGGUGUGGAGGUGCCAGCCGGGUGGCAUGCUGUGGGUUAAAUCCUCGAGGAACAACAGUGUAGUUAAUCUUUCUAAUUUAUUUUCCUUUUAGACCAUGGGAAGUCUGUAGGCAGCAGCUGUUACCCAAUUAAAAUACAGGUUAAUAUAAAAACAGUUUCUGGAAUAUAAAAGAGUUGCUGUGUCCUUACACUUCCUUAAAAUACCAUCUAAUAAUGACGUGAUGAACUACAGAAGCCCACCUAGAGAAACCCAGCAUUCUUAAAAUGAAAAUUUCUUCCCUAAAAGCUCACCGGUGUUAUUCAAGCCAUGGUGGAUGGUCAGCCAAGCCUGCAGUAAGUGCUGGAGAGGGUCGAUGAGUGGAUGGCGAAGGAAGGCCUCUUAGAUCCAAACGUCAAGUCGAUUUUU